rnacentral:rRNA from 1 species
AAAAUGGAUGGCGCUGAAGCGUCGUGCUUAUACUCGGCCGUCAGGGCAAGAGAGGCCGGGCUCGUCCCGCCAUGAAGCUCUGACGAGUAGGAGGGUCGCGUCGGUGUGCGCAGAAGGGUCUGGGCGUGAGCCUGCCUGGAGCCGCCGACGGUGCAGAUCUUGGUGGUAGUAGCAAAUACUCCAGAGAGGCCCUGGAGGACUGAUGUGGUAGAAGGGUUUCGUGUGAACAGCCGUUGCACACGAGUCAGUCGAUCCUAAGCCCUAGGAGAAAUCCGAAGUCGAUGUGCGAGUGUGCAGACCGCCGUCGGGCGAAAGGGAAUCCGGUUCCUAUUCCGGAACCCAGCAUCGGAACCGUUCCAAUCGGGCCCUUAAAGCUCGUCAGGGUAACCUAACAUGCCCCGGAGACGCCGUCGGGAGCUGCCGGGAGAGUUAUCUUUUCUGUAUAAGUGCGCACACCCCCUGGAAGCCUCUAGCAGGGAGAUAGGGGGCAGCGCGCGAAGAGCAUCGCACUUGCGGCGAUGUCGGCAGCGUCCUCUCGGACCUUGAAAAUCCGGGUGAGGGCCACGUGGACAUCCGAUCUGGUUCGUACCCAUAUCCGCAGCAGGUCUCCAAGGUGAAUAGCCUCUAGUCGAUACGAUAAUGUAUUCCCACUGUCCCUAUCUACUACGUAGCGAAACCGCUGGCAAGGGAACGGACUUGCAGAAAUCGGUGGGGAAAGAAGACCCUGUUGAGUUUGACUUUAGCUUGAUAUUGUAUAACGACAUGAGAGGCGUAGCAUAAGUGGGAGACCGACGUUGAAAUACCACUACUUUCAUCGUUGUUGUACUUACUCGGUUGGACGGGGCGCGCCCCCGCUUCAAAACCCUUGGGACGGCGGUCGUUCUAGCACCAAGCGUAGAGAUCGGUGUCCGAGUCGCGGUGUCUGAAAACCUCUCGGCGGCAGCCCGCACUAGGCCCGAGCUAUUCCCAGCGUGACCUGAUUCGAGGACAUUAUCAGGCGGGGAGUUUGACUGGGGCGGUACAUCUAUCAAAGAAUAACGUAGGUGUCCUAAGACCAGCUCAGUGAGGACAGAAACCUCGCGUAGAGCAAAAGGGCAAAAGCUGGUUUGAUCCCGAUGUUCAGUACGCACAGGGACUGCGAAAGCAAGGCCUAUCGAUCCUUUUGGCUUGAAGAGUUUUCAGCAAGAGGUGUCAGAAAAAUUACCACAGGGAUAACUGGCUUGUGGCGGCCAAGC